rnacentral:misc_RNA from 1 species
UUUCCGUCGGUGAACCUGCGGAAGGAUCAUUACCGAGUUGAUGACCUCACGGGUAGAUGUUCUACCCUUGAAUAUCUAUACGUUAGAUGCUUUGGUAGGCUGUGGAAAAACCAUGGGCUCAGGAUUAUGCGUGCGUGCCAGAGGAAACAAAGUUUGACUCUAGUGCUGUCUGAGUACGAUAUAAUAGUUAAAAAUCUCAACAACGGAUCUCUUGGUUCUGGCACCGAUGAAGAACGCAGAAGAUAGGUGGAGCAUAUCUGUGAACUGUAUCCAACAUUU